rnacentral:rRNA from 1 species
GUCCACGCCGUAAACUAUGAUUACUAGGUGUCCGGGAUGUUAACCUCCUGGGUACCGAAGCUCACGCAUUAAGUAAUCCGCCUGGGGAGUACGGUCGCAAGACUAAAACUCAAAGGAAUUGACGGGGCCCGCACAAGCGGUGGAGUAUGUGGUUUAAUUCGAAGCAACGCGCAGAACCUUACCUGGGCUUAACAUCCCCUGACAUCCACAGAGAUGUGGCUUUCCCUUCGGGGACAGGGAGAUAGGUGCUGCAUGGCUGUCGU